UCAAGCCAUAAAGAAAAACCAUACUAUACACAUUACAAAAUCACGGGUCAUACAUUCGCAAAUUGUUUUAUAUCAGGCAAUGCUGCAGCUCCCCUUUGCACCCACUGUGAGAUGACUGGUCAUACUAUUCAACGAUGCUACAAGCUUCAUGGGUACCCUCACGGCCACAAGUUUCACAAAUCAAGAGCAAAUGCAACCUCUCUUGGCCCUUCUGCUAAAGUUAACUCCGAAUCAAGUAUAACGUUGACAAAAGAGCAAUAUCAAGACCUCGUAGCCGUGCUGCACAGCAAGGAUUCUUCACCAUCCGCCAAUCAAAUUCAAACGGUUAUACCUUCCCACCCUCAUUCUUCUUCCUCUGCUAGCCUUUUUCCCUGGACAACGAUUGGGAAGGGUAGCAUGGAACAUGGACUUUACUAGCAGCUGCACAAUCCCGUUUCUCCUCAACCCUUAACCAACACUAUGUCACAAAACUUUCAUUCCCAAAAUUAUUUUUCUCCUUCUGUACAACCUGCCGAUAAUGUCCAUGACUUAUGGCACUAUCGAUUGGGUCAUCCAUCACAUGAUCGUAUGAAAUUAAUAUCUGAUUCUCAUGUACUCAAACAGAUGAAGACAAAGCAUAUUUUACCAUGUUUAGAGUGUCCACUUGCCAAACAAACUCGCUCACCUUUUGCUUCUAGCACUCAUACUACCACUUCUUGCUUUGAAAAUAUACAUUGGGAUUUGUGGGAACCUCAUUCCAUUAUUGCACAUGAUGGCAGUAAAUUCUUUCUCACCAUUGUUGAUGACUAUUCAUGAUGCACUUGGGUCUAUUUAUUAAAAAAGAAAUCUGAUGCUCGCUCAUGCCUCAAGUCUUUUUGCCACUUAGUCGAAAAUCAAUUCAACACUCGAAUAAAAAUUCUGCGUAACGACAAUGCACUUGAGUUUUUUAUGACUAAUUUCUACUCUGACCAAGGCAUUAUUCACCAAAAAUCUUGUGUCGAAACACCCCAGCAAAAUGGCUUGGAAGCACUGACACCUUCUUCAAGUUGCUCGGGCUCUUCGAUUUCACUCUCAAAUCCCUCUACAUUUUUGGUCCGAUUGUGUUCUUACCGCCACUUAUUUGAUCAACUGAAUUCCCACUCCUCUUCU